rnacentral:misc_RNA from 1 species
GGUGCUUUUAGUUAAUUACACCCAUGGCUACUCAGACUCAGAGUUGGGCAGACACCUACAAGGGUAUGUCCUCUGAUAAUAUCAAGGGGUUGAUUUUGGCUCUUUCUUCGAGCAUCUUUAUCGGUGCUAGCUUCAUUGUCAAGAAGAAGGGAUUGAAAAAAGCUGGUGCCUCUGGCAUCAGGGCAGGAAGCGGAGGCUAUUCUUACUUAUAUGAACCACUUUGGUGGCUGGGCAUGAUAACAAUGAUUGUUGGGGAAAUUGCUAAUUUUGCUGCCUAUGCUUUUGCACCUGCUAUAUUGGUCACACCCCUUGGUGCUCUGAGUAUUAUUAUCAGUGCGGUUCUUGCACAUAUUAUUUUGAAUGAGAAGCUACACAUUUUUGGAAUUCUUGGUUGUGUUCUUUGUGUCGUGGGUUCUACAACAAUUGUUCUGCAUGCUCCUCAAGAACGUGAGAUUGAAUCUGUUAAAGAAGUUUGGGAUCUUGCUACAGAACCUGCUUUUCUGUUCUAUGCGGCUUUGGUCAUAACAGCUGUAUUUGUAAUUAUAUUCCACUAUAUUCCUGACUAUGGCCAGACGCAUAUAAUGGUCUAUAUUGGGGUGUGUUCUCUUGUUGGCUCUUUGUCGGUCAUGAGUGUUAAAGCACUUGGAAUUGCAUUGAAGUUGACAUUGUCAGGAAUGAAUCA